rnacentral:lncRNA from 1 species
AUCAGAAGCAGAAGCGCCCUGGUGAUUCUAUGCCACACCACCAUUCCCCAGGAAAAUGUUCUCCACUGAGACAAAAUCCUUAAAUUUUUAGAAUGGCCUUAUUAUGGAUUACAGCAAACAUCUCAGCACAUCUUUCUCAGCAAGGAUCUCAAAACAGCAUUGGGAUGGCCUUAUUAAUAGAUCCCUUACGAAAACUCAGAAAAGUUAGAGAGGCACUCAGAAUCUUCCUAAAAUAUGAAAUGUUGAAAUCUGGAUUCUUUUUUUACCAUGACUGCAAAAUGUAAGCCACUACUUGGGCUCACCUUGUUGAAUCAGAUUUCUUCUACUUUGCCAUUUUGAUGAUAUCACUCCCAGGUAUGUUUUUUUCUUUUUUUUUCCUUUUCUUUUUCCUUUCUUUUCUCUUUCUUUUUUUUUUUUUUUUUUUUUUUUGAGACAGAGUUGUGCUCCUGUUGCCCAGGCUGGAGUGCAAUGGCACGAUCUCUGUAGGCUCACUGCAACCUCCACCUCCCCAGUUCAAGCAAUUCUCCUGCCUCAGCCUCCCGAGUAGCUGAGAUCACAGGAGCCUGCCACGACGCCCAGAUAAAUUUUUGUAUUUUUUUAGUAGAGAUGGGGUUUCACCAUGUUGGCCAGGCUGGUCUUGAACUCCUGACCUCCAGUCAUCUGCCCACCUAUGCCUACCAAAGUGCUCACUCCCAGGAGAUGAAUCUAUUGCUUCCAGAGCAUGAAUACUAGAACAGAGGACAGUUGGUAAAACUGAGAUACCAUGCCAGGUAAUAGUCGGAGUUUCAGCUGGAAAAUAGAAGAUAUGUUUCCAUUGGGUCAAGCAAGAAGAGCUUGAGACAUCUCAUCGAUUACCUACAAAAACUGCCCAGAUAAGUGAGGAGACCCAUGAGAUUUGGUAUAAAUUGCUCACUGUAUGUGGGGUAACAGAAAGAAGAAUAACCCAACAUAGAAAGCCUCAAAGCAGGAAGAUACUACACAGACUUCCAAAGAAGCAGUGAGAGGACACCAUCUGAUGCUGGCUGCACCAAGAAGCCUGAAUGGCUGUCAGUGUCAGGUGGGGAAGCAGAUGACAGAAGAGAGGAGAACAUGAAAUUGUACUAUAACUGCGUUUGUUGUCCAAAUAAGCACAAGCUGUUCCAUAUACUUUUACAUGUUUCAUUUACUUCUGCAGAGAGGAAAGAAGAAAGAUGAGAGGGAAAGCUAAGAAAAGGUGAGAAGAAAGGGUCAGGAGGAGAAAUGCAAAGAGACUGGGAUAAUUUUUUGGACCAUACCUUCUCUGCUGGCAGCUUACUGUGACUGCACCAUCCAAAAUUUGGUAUAAGGAUUUGGAAAUUUGACCAAUAUUUCUUAGAAGCUCCCCCUUCGUCUUCCACCAUGAUUGUAAGCUUCCUGAGGCCUCACUAGAAGAUGAACAGAUGCCAACACCAUGCUUCCUGUAAAAUCUUCAGAACUGUUUUUUCCACUUCCCCAGAUGGUGUCUGUGGGAUUGGCUCUCACUUUCAAGCUUCACUGACCCUAGAUGAUGGACUAGGAUCUGCUUUGGACAUCUGAGCCCAGGCUAAAGUAGGCAAAGGACAAGAGCUGCCCGCUCUUUCAGAAGCAUCUCUCAGAGAGUGACAUCCCCCUGCACACAGCUGCCAUGUCUGUAUGGCUGACUUGGGAGAAAUGCCAGAAAGGUUGGCAUGAGUGAGCAACUGUGAGGAGACCAUCAGAUGGAAACACCCAAGAGAUAAUAUUCUGGAAAACUGUAAAACUGAUUCUCUGUUGAAGUCCAAGAAGGGUACACUUAUAUGGAUGUGACUAAGAAGCAGAAAAAAAAUGAAGAUUGUCACCAGGUAAACGGGAGCGCCAUCUGGAUGGGACUAGAGUUUCUCUGUGGACCCAAGUCAGCUCAGUCACCCCUUCAUCACGGAUCCAGACCUGACGAAUUUCUAAUACAAAUGUCCACCUGGAAGCAUCACUCUGCCUAACCCAGCUGUGCUUUCAUUCUGAGGUUUUAAUUCUCUUGUAUCUCAGUGUCCAAUGGCCCUUCUAUCUGAUGUCAACUUCUGAAUUUCCUGACUUAUGAUCACCAUCAAGAGAACUGCAACAAUGGCAGAAAUGAUUUCUGAAAACCUGCAGCACAAGAUGCAUUCAAAUCUUUCCUGGGUCCCUUGCUGUUCAUCACUUCUCUAUUUUUUUCCCUCCAAACAUUUAUUUCCAAGCACUUUUCCCUAAUCAUUCUUAAAUCUUAGAAUUUAAACUCUCAAGUAUAUUUACAUUUAAAUAGAGUGCUGGGGCCUUUUGGUAUUUGAAAAAGCUUUUGAGAUUUGUAAUGAACUUCUAAAAGGUUCUGAAACUUUGCCAAGUGUUGGUCUAUUCUGAACAAUGGGAAUCCUGGAUUCAAUUCAGAACUACCCAGUCUUUAAUCCAAAAUCAAAAGGAGCUUUCAAAAAUCUGCAAUUGUUCCCUGACUCCUGAGCUUCACAGUCAAGACCUUCGCUGAUCGGCCCCCCACCUACCUUGUCAAGUCCAUCUCUCAACCCACAAGAGCGACACUGGCCUGCCUCUUCCUCUCCUGGUUUCUCCCUAAUUGCCAUUUUCUUUCUCUUGUCUCUUACUUUCCCCUUGGCCUGAAACACCCUCCCUCCACUGUACCAACUGCCUUUUUGAAAUUGAUAGGCUAAGCUCAAUAUCACCUCCAUUAUUACGCUAAUUUUUAUGGCCUUCAGAUAAUUUAGGGAGAAGUACAUAAAUUAGUCCCCAGAAAUGUCUGAGUUGAUGUUUUGCAUAAGUUCUCAGAAGCCAUAUCACUAAGGCACACUAUUACAGCUUUAUUUUCUGUAAAAUGAAGCUUAACAAUUUGUUUGGUAUGAUUUCUGUAUAAGUCAAGUCAUGUUUAGGAAGUUUUUGGCGUAUAAUCAGUGCCCCUUACUAGCUUUGGAAAUUUGGAAAACUCACUGUCUCUGCUUCAGAAUUCUCAGCCAGGUCACAGGUUUAAUAAUAAGACAUUCCUGAAAGGGUUGUGGUGAGGAUUAAAUGAGGAUAUCUAUAUGAAAAUCUUAGAACAAUACCUUGCCAAUAUCAACAUCUCAUUAAACCAAUUAAUUGUUUUUAUCAAAAAAUGUUUUCUUCUCUGCUCCAUGUUUAUCUGAGUUAGCUUAGCUGAAAUAGAAACACCUGUGCAUGUUCUUUGCAUUCCUCAAGCACUGUAUACUACUUGAUGACAACUACUAUAUUUUUGCAAAGCCAAAAACUAGGCAUGGUGCAGUAUACAUUUUUAAUAUACUAUAUAUGCAAUGCAAUCAAAUUACAUCCAGAAAAAAAAGCUCUGCCCUAUUGUAAAUGUCCUCAUAUUUUUAUCCCAACAACCACAAAGAAUGUGAACAACAAAGCAAGUUUUACUUUUCAAUGAAAAUUAUUAUCACUCACCCUUCAUUCCAUUACUUCUUUUGGGAAAUGAAAAUAAGCAACAGCAUUCCUCCAAAAUGACGUGUUUGUCCCUUUAACUUUGGACUGCUUCAUUUUUCUUUGGGAAGCAGAUCACCAUAGGGUGCAUGUUAUAGACAGAUGACAUUUCUUUUUCUAAUUUAGAUGAAAGAACUCUGAAAUACUGGUAUUUGGUCGAGCAUACUGGGCUGUUCCAGACUAAGACUUUUGAUCUUGAAUGCAGACCUGCCAGUACUCUAUAUUUCAGAUUGAUGGAUGGUAUUACUGGCAUCAUAUUUUCAUUAUUUUUUGUUCUCCUGUUCCCUGUGCCAAACCACCACUAAAUCAUAGACACUAAAUGUUGAAUAAAGUAAAAUAUCUAUGAAUUAGAAAUGAAUCCUUUUAUUAUUUUAUUCACUUAUCUCAUCCCAUGCUACAUUUUCCAUCAUUCAUCUGAUUUUCCUAAUUUCUUCGUAUAUUCUUCUCUUUGACCUUUCCUUAGAUUCUUUACAUUUUAAAGGAGGCAGCAUGGGGAGACAAAAAGGCUUUGAGCUCGGAGUCAAGAAACCUGGCCCUCAUCUUAAAUUUGCUUUCAACUUGCUUUAUAAGCUUGGGAACCUGUUUUCUCACCUGUUAAGAAGCAAAAUGCACCACACAAUCUCCAAAUCACUUGUAAUCCUAUCUCUAAUUUCUAAUUUUUAUCUAGAGCUUUCCCCCACUAUCUUAAGAAAUAGAUCCUUCACUCAACUUUUGUUUAUUUCCAUUUAACUAAUACUUUAAUGUCUCUUUCUGUCAUAUUUUCUACCUAUGAUUGCUUUGAAGUUUAAUGAAAUCAUCUGCAUUGAAUAUCUUGUAAUCAACCUUCUUUGUCAAUCCUUUAUUCUGCCCUCUCCCUUUCCUCUAUACCACCUUGUUUCUAUCCUUCUCUCUAUUCCAAAGUCCUAUUUACUCUUUAUUGUUUUGCAACCUCAAAUUUAAUACAUCAGUAAAUUGUGUCAUAAGUUCAUUCAGCAAAUACAUAGCUACAGUGGGCCAGGCACUAGGAUGUUUUGGGAUUUCAAAGGGCCCAAUAAAUAAAAUUCCCAUUCUUUGCCUGAGUUUGAAACUAGUUGAGAAACACAUAUAACAAAAAAAAAAAAAAUUGAGAGGUGAAGAUCAAAAUAUCCUGAUAAAACUGUUGGAAGAUGCUGCUUUUAGUUUGUUAGCCAAGUCCCCAAAGGGAGAGAAUAACAUGUUCCCAUCCUUCUCCAAACUCAUUGAUGAGCUGAGUUCCUUCGCUGCCUCUGAGAGAGAGUAAGUGUAGUAACUGAGUCCAGGGAAGGUGGGCAAGAGAGAGACCAGGGUGUUACUGAUGCAGGCCCUGCCCUAGAGAAACAUGAGAAUUGGGAGAUAGUGGUGACCACUAAGAUGAGGGACUGGCAAUAUGUCAGUAAGUAAGACAGCCAUUAGCAUCACUCUUGUGGAGUUUAUAGUUUAGAGAAGACAGAGCUUGAAAAGUAAUUAGAAGAGAGGUAAAUAUGUAAUGCAGAGUAGAGCAUGCCACAGGAAUACAAAGCAGAAAGGCUUACUGCCUCUGGGGAGCCAAAUAAAGCUUCUCCUGGAAAGUGUGCAUGAGCUGAGGCCUAGAGAUGAGAAGAAACAAGACGAAGCGCUGGCUGAUGAGAUGAGAAGAGUGUCUAGGGUAAUGGAAAAAGCACAAGAGAGUUUGUGGCAUGUCUGGGGAGAUGAAGUGUGGCCAGAGGCUGCGUGGUGAAAGAGCGAUUGGAAUUAGAUGAGGAGGAAGGGCAGAGAAGAGCCCAAAUCAUGCAAAUUAGAACACAGACUAUACCCUAAUGUCACCGAGGGAACUUUGAGAGAUUUUAAGCUACUGCAAGAUAUUUUAGUAAAAAUGUCAGGUCAACAACUGGGUGUGGACAUCCAAAGAGAAGAUUGUGUAGGGUAUGCGAACAUGAAAAUCAUUGGCAAAUAGAUUAUUUAUGAAUCUUGAGGCUGAGGUGGGCAAAUCUCUUGAGGUCAGGAGUUGAAGACCACCAGCCUGCCCAACAUGGUGAAACCUUGUCUCUAAUAAAAAUACAAAAAUUAACCAGGUGUAGUGGCAUACGCUUGUCAUCCCAGAUACUCAGGAGGCUGAGGCAGGAGAAUUGCUUGAAUUCGGGAAGUGGAGGUUGCAGUGAGAUGAGAUUGCACCACUGCAUUCCAACCUGGGCAACAGAGACUCUGUCUCAAAAAGAAAAAAAAAGGGUUAUUUAUGAACCUUAAGAAAUGAAUAUACUUAUCCACUGAGCAAGCACUAUGAGGCCAUAGGAGAGUUUAUGAGAGAUUCCAAGGAUCCCUAAUAUUUAAUGGCUGAGUAGAGGAAGCUAGAGAACUAGGACCGGAAGAAGAACUGAGUGUUCGGAGAUGGAGAAAUCUCUCAUCAUCCUUGCAGAAGACAAAUUUGAUAUCCUCUGUCCUUGUAUGCUGUUUUCUUACCAUAGUCUGCUGAAAGGUCAAGCAGAAGGAGGAAUGAAAAGAGGACAUUGGAUUUAGUGUAUUAAAUAAUUCAGGCAACACUAGCAGGAGCAAUUUCAGUGGAGUGGUGGAUGUGAAAGAGCCAAAGUUGGACUGGGUUAAAAAGAGUUUAGGGAGGCUGGGCACGGUGGCUCACGCCUGUAAUCCCAGCACUUUGGGAGGCCAAGGUGGGCAGAUCACGAGGUCAGGAGUUAGAGAGCAGCCUGGCCAAUAUGGUGAAACCCUAUCUCUACUGAAAACACAAAAAAUUAGCUGGGUGUGGUGGCACAUGCCUGUAGUCACAACUACUCGGGAGGCUGAGGUAGGAGAAUUGCUUGAACCCAGAAGGCAGAGAUUGCAGUGAGCCAAAACUGUGUCACUGUACUUCAGCCUGGUGACAGAGCAAGACUCCAUCUCAAAAAAAAAAAAAAAAAAAAAAAGAGAAGAAAAAGAAAAAGAAAAAAGAAAAAGAAAAAAUUUAUGGAAUAAAAUUUUCACCUAAAAUAUUUUAAGAUUAAUUAUAAAUAAUAAUUAAAAUGAAACGUAGAAUAAGGGGAAUACUUACUGUGUCUUUCUUGUCCUCAUUAUGGACAAAAAGGGAGAAAGAUGCAUGAAUCUAGAUUAAGGAGAGCUUGUAAAUUAAUGAUGCAAAUUUCAAAUAUUUUCAGUGUUGUAGUUCUUCAUUUUUUGUAAAUUGGGAGGAAGUGAUAUCCACCAAGAGUGAGAAGAGAAGGGAAAGGGUCUGACUUUACAAAUAUUGAAAAAACAGGGUGACUAAAAAUAAAUCGUAAGGUAUUUUUGGCAGGGUUUAAAUUAAAACUGGCAUUAGGAUCUAUAAAUGUACAGUUGUACAAGUCAUCAGAUUAGGAAACUCAGUAGAUUACAUGAAGGUGAAGAACUGGUGGCCAGGCAAUGGCUCACACCUGUAAGCACAGCACUUUGGGAGCCCGAGGCAGGCAGAUCACUCAAUGAGGCAGAUCACUUGAGGCUAGAGUUUGAGACCAGCCUGGAUAACAUGGCAAAACUCCAUCUCUACUAAAAAUACCAAACGUUGGCCAAGUGUGGUGGCAGGCACCCAUAAUCCCAGCUACUCAGGAGGCUAAGGCAGGGGGAUUGCUUGAGCCUGGGAGGUGGACAUUGCAGUGAGCCGAGAUUGCACCACUGCACUUCAGCCUGGGUGACAGAAGAGACUCUGUCUAAAAAAAAAAAAAAAAAAAAGGAAGGAAAGAAAGAAAGAAUUGGAAUUUAUCCAUCUCAAAUUUUUUCAACGGGAUGCUUAAUGAAUGUACAAAAGGGGUAAACCAAUAUAAGGUUUGGUGCAGACAUGGGUAUAAAAAGAUAGGCUUUAAAAUACAACCUAGAAGGAGAGCAUAAUAGAUGCAGUAAUUUCCUGUGGGUUUCAAGGAACUAGAUAUUCUGAUGAGGCAGAAAAUUAAAUGCAGACUGGUGGGCGAACUGUAACAUUAGUGGAUUAUGGCAGAGAAUGUGGGAUCUACAUCAGCACCUUCACAGGAAGAGCUGCUUCCAAGUACGACAUCUUGAAAAAUGGUCCUGGGAUUGACAUCUGAGGCAGGGAAUACAAGAGAAAGUGAGUGAAAGAUGUAUAAAAGGCCGGGUGCGGUGGUUCACGCCUGUAAUACCAGCAUUUUGAGAGGCCAAGGCGGGCGGAUCACGAGGUCAGGAGUUCGAGAGCGACCUGGCCAAUAUGGUGAAACCCCAUCUCUACUAAAAGAACAAAAAUUAGCCAGGCAUGGUGGCAUGCACCUGUAAUCCCAGCUACUUGGGAGGCUGAGGCAGAAGAAUCGC